UCCAGCCACAAUUCUCGGUUGGCCGCAGACUCGUACAAGAAUUGCGUUUGGACA
rnacentral:pre_miRNA from 1 species